GCGCCAGUAGCUCAGCCGGAUAGAGCAUCGGAUUUCUAAUCCGAGGGUCGAGGGUUCGAAUCCUUCCUGGCGUA
rnacentral:tRNA from 1 species